GUUGCAGCAAUUGGUAGAUUUCAGCCAUGACCUUUUGAGUGAAACAUGGAUGUCUGAAGCAAGGUGACUCUGAAGUUAAGAGAAUUCUCUAUUAAAAAUCAUCAGCAGAUGCUGCCAGAUGAACUAGGUCUUUCCAGCCAUUUCUGUUUAUGUUUGGAAUGUUCAGUUAUCUGCUGUUUGUUGAACCGAUGGAGAAUCAAGAAGCAACUUGGAAUGCCCCAUCAUGAUUAAAGUGUCAUUGAUUAAUAA